GUGGCUAUAGUUUAGUGGUAGAACGUGCGGCUGUGGCCCGCAUGACCCGGGUUCGAUCCCCGGUAGCCGCC
rnacentral:tRNA from 1 species